GUGCUGUGAUGGUGAUGGCAGGCACAGUUUCUGCCCUCUCCUGGGAUGCAUCUAGUGGGAGAGACUGAUAAGAGUGGGAACAGGAGAGGGAGCGUGAAGAAGGCUGUGAAAAUGGACAGGAUGGAAGGUCAUUAACAAGAAGCUGAAUAAGAAGUGGAGUAACUAGGACACGAAUCGGCGCCCAUAUGGAAUGCUGGUGUUGCAAGCAGUGGCUGUACCCGCUAUACCACAAUGCUGG